UACGUAGGGAGCAAGCGUUGUCCGGAUUUAUUGGGUGUAAAGGGUGCGUAGACGGGAAUGCAAGUUGGUUGUGAAAUCCCUCGGCUUAACUGAGGAACUGCAACCAAAACUGUGUUUCUUGAGUGCUGGAGAGGAAAGUGGAAUUCCUAGUGUAGCGGUGAAAUGCGUAGAUAUUAGGAGGAACAUCAGUGGCGAAGGCGACUUUCUGGACAGUAACUGACGUUGAGGCACGAAAGUGUGGGGAGCAAAUA
rnacentral:rRNA from 1 species